GAGAGAGGCGUAGGUUAAAACCCUUUAGUCUGGACCACAGCACCGACGGGUCUACGCUCGGAGUUUUCUGUUUCACAGCACUUUAACGUAGGACGAGAAAUAAAUUUUAGCCACGGCCACCUCUUAGCGAAAGGUUCGGCAAAGGAGGUCUGAUCAACAGAGAUACUUAAAAAGUAACAUUGUUCGAUAAUUCUCAUCGGUGACUUUGGGAGAAACUUUGAAUUGUGAAUCGUUGGAUGGCGUAGAAAGGAAUCGAGCCAGUGCAGAGCAGACACAGACCAAAAGCGGCUUGGGUGGAGCCUCGUCGUUGACGUCAUCAGACGUACAGACAAACGGCACAGAUGUAGAAACCAAUGCGCGUGGAGAGAGUCCAGAAUCGUGCGAUAACCGGUGGCCACGGAGUAGUUCGGAAUAGUAGUCGGUGGGGAAGUUGUAUCGGCACCUAGUGGCACGACCACAGGAGGGUGGUGGAGAAGAGAGGAUUGGGGUUGCUGGGAGAAGAGAAAGAGGCAACGGAGGAUGCGGAGAUGGCGGAGGGAUGGUCGCAGCAGCAGCAGCAGCAGCAGCAGCAGCAGUAGUAGCAGCAGCAGUAGUAGCAGCAGCAGCAGCAGCAUCCACGCUUGCCUACCGCUGAAGCCCGACCACCACAGAGCCACCCCUCCUUCUCCACCCCCUCGAACAAUCCCAACGGUGUCCGCCUCUCAUGUUGCAAGCCACGGCCAGCCGACAACCUCUACCACAGCAAUCCUAAAUGCAACUAACUUUGAGAGAGAGAGAGAGAGAGAGAGAGAG